UGGUAAAACGAUCCUUUUGGUCAAAUGCACGUAUAGUUGCUGCCCCUGCGAGUGAUUCUCCAAAAUGAUGAAGGAUUGGAGCUUUCUGUAUUUCAGAUAAUCGUGCUAGCUCCCGUGCAGUUGAUUGCUGUUACUGGAAUGAAGAUGAGAAAGACUUCCCAUGCAACCUGUGACAUGACUGCAAUGGUGCCUAAAAGCUGGAUCAUUGAGAAAGCUGCCCAACCUAAUCUUUGUGCCAUUUCUAAGUCCAAUACACUUUGGUCAGAUGAUGCCUGCAUAAGAAAUAUAUUGCCUUGUACACUGAUGGGUUGCUGCUCGGUCCUACUUCCUCCUUGACUCGUUUGAGGCUCUCACCAAAGCUGUGUGAGAGAAAAGCAGCAGAGUCUUGCACAUCAACAUCCGGGAUCUCAUCCUGCUCAAGUGCCGCCUUCUUCCCAAUCACAAACAACGGGUUGAGCCACGAGAAGACUGACUGAUGCAAGGAGCCCAAGAAGGUCUGCAUAAUCUUGUAUUCUCAGAUGACCAUCAUUUUCCAUUAUGAAAUGAUAAUCAAUGGAAAUAUGACAAGCUAAUAUCAGGAAGCUGAUAACCCACCAGAGCCUCAGAAUUCCGGGAAAAUUGAGCUGCGAGAGCUGGAAGAUUUUGAUUGCAUGGAGUCUCGCUCCCCUUUAUCAGCAAAAUUAAUGAAGUCGAAUGCACACCCAGGAGCAAAAUGGAAGAAAUAACGCUGGUUUUCGAGCACAGGCUGAGUCUUGCAUUAUCAAGAUCUCACUGAAGUUGAAGCAUAAUCCAUGCCACACAUUUUCGUGCAAGGUGCUUCCCACUUUGUUUAUAGACACAACAGUUGACAUCAAGAACUGACUCUUUGUAGAUGAUGCUAGAGUAUAGAAGGGGAAGGAGGAUUCGUACCUGUAACCUAUCGUUCACAGCACCUCAAUUUUAACCAUUAGGUCAAUACAUCCUUGAUUAACAUAUCAUAUUAGUUUUUAAAUCUACUAUCACUAACAUUUAUCUUAAGUUUUGGACUUACCAUCUCAAUCAAUAAGGCCAAGUUUUUGAGUUUGUCUUGUAAGAGACCGCCUACUUUUAAAUUAAAAUUAGGCAAUGCUAAGCCCAAUAUUGAAGCCCAAUAGUUACUAGGUUAAUUUAUUUCGGUCACUAGUUUAAUCCAUUUAGUUACUAGGUCUACUUUUAUAUUAAAAUUAGACCGUCUCUUUUAAUAAUUUGUCCAAGUUUUUUUUGGAUUGAGAGAAUCUAAAUUGAAUGAAACUAGAUUGAAUUGAAUUGAGAGAAAUUAAAAUGAACUGAAAAUAAGUAAAAAAAAAAAAAACAUGGCCUAAAUAUAUCAUCUCAUAUGGACCUUUCAAUCCAAUAUAUGUACAUUUAGAUUAUGGGAGUAUCAUCUUACUAAUUGGAUAUUUAUCUCAAUAAUCGCCUAGUCGGUAGUUCAUCUUAUUUCAAUUUAUGGACAUACCAAUUUUCUAUAUCCCAUACUUUUUGUACCUGGACCAUCUCAUUUAUAAGCUAUGAUAUUUUAGUUUUCGGGUUGGCUUCUUAUACUUCUAAUAUCAUGUUUAAUAGAAUAUUGUCAAGAUUUCAAGAAAGAAUAAAAAAAUACGAAGAGUGUAUAUCAUAAUUUAUCUUGUAAUAUGUAUAAUGACAUAAAUCUCAAUAAGAAUGACAUUAACUUGUAAAAAUAAUUACAUGAAUCUCAUGACAUAAACCCUAAUACUUAUUGUGUAAUAAGUAUAAUGACAUAAAACUUAAUAAAUUGGAUGUAAGAGUUACACCCAAGUCCCAAGAAUUUGUGAUAAAAGAAACAUUUGCCAAAAGAAUACAACCAGAAAUUUGCACAAACAAAAUUGUCCAACAAUGAUACACUAAGAUAUCAUGAACAUAAUAAAGAAUAACUCACACAAAUAGACAGACAAUUAUUGAUUACAUUAAAAAUAUGAGAAUCAUUCAAUUAUUAAUUACAUAAAAAGUAUGAGAAUCAUUCUGAGUUCUGACCAGGUAGAUUACAUACAUCAAUUUCUUUUUUUGGGUGUAAAUUAGGGGAAAAUAAGUACCCCAAAAAAAAAUGCCAACUAUACAUAGCAGAGCUAUAUGAAUAAUAUUAUCAUGUACUUUUAUUAUAAUAAAUUUUCCAUCAAUUAAAAGUCUGCAUUGCUUUGUCAUUUCCACCCACCCCAACACUCUAAUUUCAUGGAAAAUAGACAUAAGAAUUUGGACAGUAAUCUAAUUAUUACUACUAUUUUGUGUUAUAACGUAUGUGAGAAGAACAAAUAUUAAAUGUAGAAAAGCAAUAAAAAACACACAGAUUUACGUGGUUCACCAAUGGUGUGUUUGCUACGUCCACGGGUAGAAAGAUAAUAAUUCUAUUGAUCUUGAGGAUUUCAAAAUACAUAUGUGUUUUCACACUAAUGCCAACUUAAAACGAAACUAGAUUAGAUUAAAUAACAUAUUAUAACCCGACUCGUAAAUCUCCCCCGCGUCAAAAAGCCCACUGCCCGAUUGGGCGGCCAAUUUUCCCAAACCCAAAUUCGUCCAGUUGUGAUUCGGUGACCACCCCCGAUCGCGGUUCACCCGAACCAAUCGGGCGACCCGCUUUUAGGCACUUGUUGAGACCAUCGAUCUCGCCCAAUCGAGCGGUACUACUCGACUUGACCGGGCGGGCCUGAGUCAGCUCCCUUUGACGAACUUCGACCAGAUUCAAGGGAUAAUUGCAUAAUUCCUACAUUUUGUUAUCUUAGUCUUUUAUGCUUAAUAAAGUCUUGUACACUUAAUUAGUGGUACUCUGAAUCUUCAGUCGAGCCUUUAGGGAGAUAAAGCUGAAUAGAUAUUAAGUACUAUUUCUGAGCCCACCAGUUUUGUGGAACUAUAUGCCCACGCAUGAAUCCAAUAGAUCUAAAAUUCGUAAGAGUACCACUUUUGCACUAUCUGGAUGUCAGCUAAAUUUCGUCUUCCAAUUUUUUAUUUUUUUUACAAAGGUCUUCCAAGUUAGCAAGGACUAUUUUGUAUCUUUACUACAUGUGCAAUCCCAAUUUUUUUUCUCUCUUAUUUAGCUAACUAACAUUUUGUCAAUUAUAAUAUACUCCAUCAGUCCUAAAUUCACUUUCCUUUUCUCCUUCUUACAUUUGCCCGUCCGCAUUUUUGUAUCAUUAACUAGUUAUUCGGCCCUGGUAUGUCCUGGAUAAGAAAAAAUUUCAUUUAUUAAUAUAAUACUUUAUGAUAAUAACACUAAAUACAACUUAGCCUAGUGAUUAAAACUUUAGUAUAUGUACUUGAGGUGUCAAGAUCAAACCCUAUACUAUGCAAUUUCUUAAUGUUUUUUAUUGUACAUGGAUUACAUGAACUAAAAUUUCCUAGGGAGAGCGCCACGUGACACAAUUUCUUGUUUUCGCACGCCUUUUAAUAUAUUUGUAUAGAAAUCUAUAAUCACAUAAUAAUAAAUAUUAUAAACGUUUGAUUUUAUAAUGUAUAUUAUGACGAAUUAAAUAAGACCUGACUAUGUUUUUUCUUAUAUGUUGGGGAAAAAAUGGAGGAUUUUCCUUGCUUAUGUAUAGUACCAAAAUUUAAAAUGAAAAGUCUAUUUAGAAACGGAGAGACUAGCCAAAUAAAGUUUUUGUCUUUAUAAUUAGAAAAGAUUUUCUUUGAUACACCAAUAAUAAUUAUUACGAUGGAUAUGUGGUGAUAAUAUAUGGUGUUAUCACUUUGUGGUUUGGUUUUUGUAAAGUUAAUCGAAUUUAGUUCAUUUUUUAAUCAAUGAUUUGACAAUAAUUGCUACAACAAUUAGCUUAAAGACUUAAAGCUGUAUUGGAAAAAGUAGAUACAAUUACAGAUCAUCAUUUAUUAUAGUGUGUAAAAGCUACUCUUAAUGUUUUCCCUACCAAUUUUAUAAGUCCAAAUGCCGAACAUAUCAAUUAGUUCCACCAAAUUCCCAUCCACUACUUUGUGCUUUGGGCUUUAUCUGAUCUCAAAAUUAGUAGCUUUGUCAGUGAUGUUUUAAAAAGGCUAUCAAAAUUAGCUUGUAUAAGAGGGAAAAAGGAUUAACUAAAAGGGGCUCUUCAAUUUCCAUAGCAAAUUAUAGUAGUCUUAUAGAUUAAACUAGUGGUUGUUCUGGGCGAUACUUCUCAGUACGGAUGAUUGCAUAUAAUUCGUUUAUUAUUCUUUAUAAAGUUAAGUGAAUUACAUUCCCCCCAUAUCAGUGUACUGAGUGUUGGGUGCAUAUUAAAUUUAUUGCAACAACCUUCAAUACUUCAUAAGUUUUAAUUAGUAUUGAAUAGUGGUCACCGGGUGCAUAAUAAAUUUAUUGUGAUAUCAUUAAAUUUUUGUAAAAAUGAGUCAUGCAGUACUUACGUGCAUUGUGAAAGAACGUUAAUGUAAUUUGUCUUACCAAAAUUUUUAAAGUAAGCCAUACACUCAUACAAACUUGAUUCAACUACUGCCAUAGGCCCAUAAAUCAAAAUGUUUCAUAAUCAUAGGACCUCAGAAUUGAUUACAUGAUUGAUUUCUAAAAUUGAUAGCAAGAGUAUUUAUGAUCACUAGUCACCACUCUAUCACCACAUGUUUGUUUUAGUUGAAUAUGAAAGGGAUAUUAUUUCAAUGUUGCUUUUGAAAGCAAUUUGCUAGUGACAUAUCAUAUAAGUAUUGCCACUUUUACGUCUCUUUUCAUUUUCUCGUUUUUACGUGAUCAUCUUGUACUAUGAAAAAGCCAAUCUCUACUAAUCGAGUUUUGGCUGAUCAGUACCAUGCUUACCUUCCACAUAAAAAACAAAGGAUCACAAGUAUCAAAUCUUGAGACUUGAGAGAAGCAUGUUUAUUGGAUCUGAGAAGAGAUUCCUGAUUUUGGACUUUUUUCUCGAGAUAAGGUAGUAGACCUAGAUGAUCGAGAACAUUGCUAUACCUACCCACUUGGUAAACAACUCACUACUAAUAGAACAUUAUAAACAAUAAAUUAAUAAUUAUGUUGAGUAAGAUUCCAUUAUUAUAACCCUCAACAAGUCUGUAUUAAUGGUGGGUAGUCUACCUAGUGAAUAUACAAAUUUUUUUCCGAUGAUCGAUGUGCUUGAUAAAAGAAUGUUAAGAUCAUAAAAAUCAGUUCAAGAUUGUUAAGGAAGUUUACUCAUUUUUUUAAGAUGAAAAGGCAUAGAAUUAAAACUUAAUCAAGGUUAAGGCUUAUAAGUUUAGUAGUUUACUCAUCUAGGGUGAAACAAAUCGGCCACAGGUUAUUUUGUUAAGAAAGAUACAGUUAACAAGAUGGUGAAUAAUUAUAAUUGUCUAUGCAUUUGUUUUAAAUUGGUAAGGAGAAGUGUCAUAUUAGAUCAAAAUCUCGCACAGGUUAAUUUGUCCAACCCAACUACACAGGCAAGAUCGCAAGACCGCAAUACCCUUUGUAAGGGGGGGUUUUAUGUAAGUGAAUCCCACCCCCUAAGUGACCAUUUGAAAGUGUGAAAUACAAACCUAACCAUUAGAUCAAGUACUAGAUUUUUUCUAUACAUUGAUAUUUGUUAAAUGUUCAAGAAGGCAUGAAAAUACUCCCUCUGUCUCAUAUUAGCUAUUAUUUUAGUUCUUCAAGAAGAAAUAUUGAUUGUUAAGGUAUCUUAUUAUAUGUUGAUAUUAAAAUCUAUUCCUAUGGCUGAAUCUGCAUUUUGAAAAGUAAUAUUAUUCUAUUAUUGAUUUUUUAUUAAUUUAAUCAUGUAUAUUGAAAGAUAUUUACGGUUCAAAUUAAAGUUCACCCUAAAAGAUAUAGUAAUUAAACAAUUACAUCUGGUAUUAUGAAAUACAAAGUGUAUUCUCGCAUCAUCAAAGGCUUUUUAUAAUCAACUAUUUUGUGUCAUCUAUUACAAACAAUUUAUACCAAUGGAGAAAUUUCUG